rnacentral:lncRNA from 1 species
AUGCUGAGAAAUUUCUGGGCAGCCCUGAGUGAUCCAGGAGAUGUACUUACUCUGUUUCUACCACAGCUCCAGUUUUCUUUUGAUUCCCAUAAUAGGAAACCUGGCAAUGAUGUUUAUCUCCUGAACAAGAUGCAGCACGUGCUGGUUCAAAGAGACCAGUGUGCCUCAAGAUUAUCAUUUACGCAGUGGAUGAAGAUGGCUAUAAAAAACUUUGUUACUUCAGGGGCAAGUCAGCAUGAGGAAUGAAUGAAUGCAUG